rnacentral:tRNA from 1 species
GAUUCCGUAGCUCAGUUGGUAGAGCAAUACACUUUUAAUGUAUGGGCCCUGGGUUCGAGUCCCAGCGGGAUCACC